AGCGUCAUAUAGAGGUUUUGCUACAAGGCCAUAAUUUGGAAUCCAGACACGACGGAACCACACGACGGAACCCAGCCAUCCGGAGAAAGCCUCGGAGUUGCCUCUUUGUGGUUGGAGACAGUAAUAAAUAGCCAGCUCUAGUGAUACAGGCUGCAACAUGGGACCUUUUGCUGCGGUGCUGCAGUGCUUGCACCUGGACACCCCUCUCCUCCAGCAACAAAAUACAAAGAAAUUGUAUGGGACUAAAAAUAACUGCACGCAUGCGCAGUCGGGACAAAUCCUGGAUAAAAGAUACAAAGAAACCAAAAAACCCAACUGCCACUCUUGAAGAGCCCGGAGCCAAAGCAGGGUACUGCGCAUGCCUCCUGCACACACCACCUAUGGGGUGGGAAAACCACCAAAGCCUUCCUCUGGCCUGACCCCUGGACACACCCCUACCCUCACCCACAUAAAGAACACCCUCAGGGAGCCAGCAAGCAAGGGAAACUGUUGUUUGCUCUCACUUCCCCCUGCUGCAGCAGGGGCCCCAAUAAAGCCUUGCCUGAA